rnacentral:tRNA from 1 species
AUUUAUAUAGUAUAAAAAUUAUAUUUAACUUCCAAUUAAAAGAUCUAUAAAUUUAUAGUAUAAAUA